rnacentral:rRNA from 1 species
GAUGAACGCUGGCUACAGGCUUAACACAUGCAAGUCGAGGGGAAACGACGGGGAAGCUUGCUUCCCCGGGCGUCGACCGGCGCACGGGUGAGUAACGCGUAUCCAACCUGCCUCUGACUGAGGGAUAACCCGUCGAAAGUCGGCCUAAUACCUCAUGGCAUCGUCUGCGGGCAUCCAACGACGAUUAAAGAUUUCAUCGGUCAGAGAUGGGGAUGCGUCUGAUUAGCUUGUUGGCGGGGUAACGGCCCACCAAGGCGACGAUCAGUAGGGGUUCUGAGAGGAAGGUCCCCCACAUUGGAACUGAGACACGGUCCAAACUCCUACGGGAGGCAGCAGUAAGGAAUAUUGGUCAAUGGGCGAGAGCCUGAACCAGCCAAGUAGCGUGCAGGAGGACGGCCCUAUGGGUUGUAAACUGCUUUUAGGCGGGGAUAAAGUGAGGGACGUGUCCUUCAUUGCAGGUACCGCAUGAAUAAGGACCGGCUAAUUCCGUG